rnacentral:rRNA from 1 species
CCUACGGGCGGCAGCAGUGAGGAAUAUUGGUCAAUGGGCGUGAGACUGAACCAGCCAAGUAGCGUGAAGGAUGACUGCCCUACGGGUUGUAAACUUCUUUUAUAAAGGAAUAAAGUGAGGCACGUGUGUCUUUUUGUAUGUACUUUAUGAAUAAGGACCGGCUAAGUCCGUGCCAGCAGCCGCGGUAAUACGGAGGGUCCGAGCGUUAUCCGGAUUUAUUGGGUUUAAAGGGAGCGUAGGUGGGUUGUUAAGUUAGUUGUGAAAGUUCGCGGCUCAACCGUAAAAUUGCAAUUGAUACUGGCAGCCUUGAGUGCAGUUGAGGUAGGCGGAAUUCGUGGUGUAGCGGUGAAAUGCUUAGAUAUCACGAAGAACUCCGAUUGCGAAGGCAGCCUACUGAACUGCCACUGACGUUGAUGCUCGAAAGUGUGGGUAUCAAACAGGAUUAGAUACCCCAGUAGUC